GCUGGGUGCAGUGGCGCAUGCCUGUAAUCCCAGCAGUUUGGGAGGCUGAGGCGGGAGGCUGAGGCAGGAGGAUGGCGAUUUCAAAACCAGCCUUAGCAAUUUAGCGAGGCGCUACGCAACUCAGUCAGACCCUGUCUCAA
rnacentral:sRNA from 1 species